rnacentral:misc_RNA from 1 species
AGUAAAGAUGUAUUUGUUCAUUUUUCUGCUAUUCAAGGUAAUGGAUUUAAAACAUUAGUUGAAGGUCAAAAUGUAGAAUUUG